GUACGUAUCACCCUGAUACAAAACUAGGCUUAACUAACAAAUCAAAGAACACGAGUAACACUCUUGAAAUUGAGCCUAACCAUAUCAGGAUUUCGAUCAUGUGAUCUAGGAUCAACAGUUGAUAUUGAAUUGAAUAGAUAUUACGGUAAAUUUUAACAUAUCUAAUCAAAGUUCAAUAUCGGUCCCUUCCGAUGUAUACUCCAUACAUCCGAUACUGGUAAACUUUGCCAAUGUCCUGGAAAGGACAUAACACUUUUCCAAGGUGUAAGAAUACCUAUCGCUGAUUAUACCAUGUCAGUCUAAAUCCAGUGUUCUGACAAAUCAGGGAAUAAACUUUUGAACAUAUAAUAAAGAUUAUAUUCCACUGUGCUGACAACACUAUAAUCUUUAACCAACUCAUAUGUUCUGGACUUAAAAAGAAUUCAUACAUUAUAUACCUAUAAUCAUGAAAUAAAUCAUGUGAACCAUGCAACAUAAAAUGUUAUUUCUGAUCUUUAUUAAUAAUUAAAUCUGAUUAUAUGAAAUGAGUUUUAUUUAGGGCAUAAAACCCAACACAGGCAGGGUGAUAUCUUGGUCGAGGGGGAAGACUAUGUCACCGAGGAGUUUACCGAGGCGGUCCCCCACAGGAGGCAAAGUGCCCUAGGGGCCAGAUGGGUGUGCCCUCCGUCUAAAAUAAUUGAGGAGCGAUUGAAGGGUUUAGAGAAGGUUGGGUACUUGGGCAGACUUGAGUGUUAUUUCCUUUCUCCGAAUCACCGGGCAACUAACCCAAAGAAAGGGUUAUGUGCCUGGUCCAGUGCCCACACUAAGCAAGGGGCGAUGCUACCUUUGCUCUAGUACUUCAAGAGGGUUGCGGAUUAUUUCUGCCUCUGUCCGACCCAGUUUACUCCCAAGGGCAUUAAGUACUUGUCUGCCCUGUUCGUCCUCUACGCCAUUCAAGGAUGGGGUGCGUCGUCCCCACACGACAUCAAUUGGCGUUUCGAUUUGAAGUCUACCCCUAAGCAGAGCAAGUCGAGGUACUUCUACUUCUCUCAGAUGGACUGCAAGUGGCUGACGGGCACCGUGGACAUAGAGGUUAGCAAGAUUUGGGGUUUUGUUGAUGAGUACUACUUGGUGGAAGGCAUGGGAGCCACCUAUACUCAGUUUCAAUAGAUCCUUGUGUAUUGUCGUCCGUCCUUCACAUUGGAACUUAGGGACAGGGCUCAGAAAAUUCUCCUGUUGCCAGAUGCUGCUCGAAAUAUCACUUUGUUGACCUCAGAGGACAACUUUGUGAAGUACAAGCUUUAUCCGACAAACUUUAUACCCUAGCAUGUGAAGGAGAGGAAGAAGAAGUCUAGGUCUGGUCGGGCUGAGGGUGUUGAGCAAGAGAAGGAGCUCAUUCAACUUAAGCGUGAGGCUAAGUUAAAGGGUGAUGUUGGAGCCAAGCAGUAUGCUCAAGAGUAUUCUGAGCAGGAAAAGGAGGCUCAGGAAUAUUCAGAGCAAGAGAGGCCGCUCAAGAAGAAGAAAACCCUCCCGACCGAGCAGAGGCCAAUAGAACAUGCUAUCCAAAUCAAGGAACCAGGUGUGCCUGCUCGGCCAUCAACCCCUAUAGAGGGAAAAGGAAAAUCUAUCCUAGAGGAGCAGGAAGACUCUUCGGAUGAUGAUGCUCCGUCAGUGCUUGUUCGGGAAAACGCUCCUGCCAACGUGCAGAGUACUUUAACUUGCACUUAUUUUCCUUGAUUUUUAUGUCUUCAUAUAUUUUAUGUCAUCUUUUGACUGUAAUAUUUUUAUUCCGUCCAGAAAUGUCUUAGAAGAUGAUUGAGGCUUUGAAAAAAAGAGAGUAGGGGAGUUCGGGCUUGUCCCUUUCGGCCAAAAAGUCCAAAGGUGGUGAGACUUCGUCCAAAGAGAAGGCACCAGUUGAAGAGGUCAUUGAUCUCUUCGAGGAGCAACCUUUUGUGGACCCUUUUACCUUGAAAGUCACCAAAUCCAAAGGUUCCCGAGGAUGGAGUUUGAAUAGACCUGAGCAGGCUAAGACUGGGUCUGAGCUAGUCAAGGGCGGAUCUGAACAAGUUAGGCCCCUGCCCCCACUCCGGUGUUAUGCACGGAGACCAAAAGAGGCAAAGACAUGCUUAACCACUAUGUAGCUCGGUCGCUUUUGGAGGUGAAUGAGCAGCUGACUGGAGCGGAUAAUGACUUGUCCUUGGAGUUGGUCUUGGGAGGAGUUCUGAAGGAACUUUCGCGGACUGGUUUGAAGAUGGCCUAUGCCUAUUCUCAAGCUAAGUCGGCUGCUGUCAAGAAUCUUGCCACUUCCAACACACUGCAAAGGGAUGCGGACUUAGCCAAAAGGGAAGCUGAAGAUGCGCGGACUCAGCUUGAGACUCUGUGGAUGGAACUUGGAGAAGUCAACAAGAAACUUCUAGCUGUUGAGACCAGAGUUGUCGAGCUGACCAGGGAACUGCAGGAGAUGCCAUCUAUCGAGCAGCUCGAGGUAGAUAAUGCUUCUUUGUCUCGGGAUGUUGCCACUCUUUAAGACGAAAGAGAGGGUUUUCAAACUCUUCUCCGCAGGUUUGAGGAUGAGGCCAAGGACAAGAAGACUAGGGAGGAGGAACUUGAGGCUGAGGUUAAGAGCCAGAAAUCUGAGGUGAAGAAGCUCGGGGAGAAGGUAAAUGCCUUAGAGAUAGCUGGUCUCGAGAUUUUUUAUUACUUUUGGAAGGCAAAUUCCAAGGCAAACUUUGAAUCUCUCGACACUUCCAAAGACAUGUUUCUUGACUACUACACCACUCAAGCGGCCUACGGGAAUCUUGAGGCGACCACUUCCACCUCUCCUACCGACCAGAGUGUUCAGGCUCCUUUCGCCCAGACUAAUGAUCCUCUGGCUCCUUUAGACCUAGUUGAGCCGUACAAAGAGCCUGGGACUCAUGUUGUUUGAUUGCCUUAUUUUUACUAUCUUUCUUUUUUUUUAUGUCUAUUUGGCCUGUAGGCCCUCUUUUGAGACAUGGUGACCCGCCAAGCGGUCUUUAAACUUGGAAUAUUACUUUUCAUUUUUUUACCAACUGGCUGACCAGACAUCCUUUAAUCCCGGGUUUGAAUGCUUUGUUAUUCUUAAUGAAUUUCAUCCUUUGUUUAUAAUCAUUGUGCAAUUGUGUUCAUUUUUUUUUACCAAAUGCUUUGUACAGUUAUAGAUGCCCCCCAAGUGACUGAGGAGACUUUUGACUCUUGGUCAUUUAUUUUUCACAAGUAUGUUUUUUGUCUGUUCGGGGUUUUAGGUACGACCAGACCUUUUGUAUGCAUUGGAUGGUAAAUUUGUAACAUGCUAAUGAACUUGACUCAAUUUGAAUUGAAAUAAACAUCUUUAUUCAUUUAUUGGUCAGAAAUAUGUCUGUUACUGUAGUAACUUACAUUGAAGCUAUUAUGUUGAUCUGAUCUAAUCGUGAGCUUAGCAUGAACAAAAAAAAUUACAGAAAAUAAAAAUUGUACUUUCAUAAGUGGUCAUCCGACCUGAGUACUUUGUAAUUUUAUCUGAACCUUUGGGCGUGGUCACUAAAGAGUAAAUGUUCUUUUGUUUCGUACUUAAUAUGGUCAUCCGACCUAGUACGUUUACUUGUAGUAUUUUCUUAAGUGUUCCCCGUUCCAAUACCUUGGUACUAGAACGAGUUGCACUUUUUCGUCAUACUUACCCAGUUUAUAUGCUCCUGAUUCUAGAACUUCGACCACCUGAUAUGGUCCUUCCUAAUUUGGUCCGAGCACACCUGUCGUGCUGUCUUUGGUGUUCAGAAAUACUCUUCUUAGGGCCAUAUCUCCCAUAAAGAAUUUCCGUGCUCUCACUUGUUUGUUAAUAUACCGAGCUACCUUUUGUUGAUGGGCUAUCAAUUUCAAGUUUGCUACGAUUCGUUUUUCUUCAACUUCAUCAAGUGAUUCUGUGAGGAGUGCAUGAUUGGCUUCUUGGUUAUAUGUCAAUCUUCUGUGGGAUGGCGGUUCGAGUUCUACGGGCAGCAUAGCUUCACAUCCAUAUGUCAUGGCAAAUGGAGUCUGUCCGGUCGCUGUUUUCUCAAUUGUGCAGUACGACCAUAAUACUUCAGGGAGUUCCUUCGGCCAGUUUCCUUUAGCAUCUUCAAGUCUUUACUUUUGGGUGUCUUUGAGUGUCUUGAUGACUGUUUCGACUCGACCAUUUGCUUGAGGAUGUGCCACUACAGAGAAACUUUUUAUGAUCCCCUGGUUUGCACAGAAAUUAGUGAAGGACUGACUGUCAAAUUGCUUCCCAUUGUCCGAGACCAUCUUACAUGGUAAUCUGAAUCGACAAAUUAUGUUCUUCACAAUGAAGUCUUGCACUUUUUUGAACGUGAUGGUUGCUAGUUGCUCGGCUUCCGUCCAUUUGGUAAAAUAGUCAACUGCAACCACUGCGUACUGUACUCCGCCUUUGCCCUUGGGUAAUUAUCCAUUAGGUCAAUCCUCCAAAUGGCAAAAGGCCAAGGACUUUGCAUCUACGUUAGUUCGUUGGGCGGUGCACGAGGUAUCUUUGAAAAUCUCUGGCAUUUAUCACAUUUCUUAACGUAGGCCUUGGAGUCUUGAAUCAUGGUUGCCCAGAAAUAAUCUUGCCUUAGAACUUUCUUUGAUAAACUCUACCCAGCUGCAUGGUUGCCGUUGAAUCCAUCACGUACCUCUAAUAAAAGUCAUGCAGCUUCUUCUUGUGUAACACAUCUAAGUAUUGGCAUGGAGAAACCUCUUCUAUACAUAACUUCCUCAAUAAUGAUGUAUUGUGCAGCCUUUCUCCUCAUUUUCAGAGCUUCAUUCUUGUUAUCUGGGAGUUCCCCAUUGUUGAGAUAGGCUGCUUUUAGCGUCAUCCAGUUUAGGGAUGUAUCAAUCAUUUCAAUCUCCUUCGUGCCUGUGAUACUGGGUUUUUCUAGAAAUUGGUUCGGGAUCAGAUUUGCUUUAUCAUUUAUGUUACUCCUCGCAAGUUGGGCUAGUGCAUCAGCAGUUGUGUUUUCUUCUCUUGGAAUUUGCUUGAGAGCAUAGCUUUUGAAUUGUGUGAGCAGGCCAUGUAUUUUACUUAGAUAUGCUAUCAUCUUUUCCCCCCGAGAUUCGUACUACCCAGAUACAUAAUUUACCACUAACUGUGAGUCACUGCAGAUCUCAACGUGUUCGACAUACAAUUCCCGUUAGGCCAGCAAUAAGGGCUUCAUAUUCAGCUACAUUGUUGGAUGCCUUAAAUUCAAUUUGACUGCGUCGUGCAGGUGCUGCCUCCUGGGUGUCACAAGGGCGAUUCCUGUGCCGGAUAGUCGAUCCGUAGCUGACCCAUCUACAUGUAGCCUCCAAGUUGGCUUAUCUUUACUAUUACACGGUUAAGGUGCUUGUACUAACUCUAGGUUACUUUCUGAAAUGCUCUCUUCUUUACCCGUACAUUCAACCAUAAAAUCUGCUAAGGCCUGACCCUUAAUCGCCGUUUGGGGCUGAAAGAUAAUUUCAUAUUGGCCCAACUCCACUGCCCAUUUGAGCAACCGUCCAGAGGCGCCUGGUUUUUGUAAUACUUGAGAUAAUGGUUGGUCAGUGUAUACCCGAACAUGAUGAGCCUGAAAGUAAGGCCUUAGCUUUCUUGUUGCUAGGAUUAGGAAAUAGGUGAACUUUUCUAUCAAUGGGUACCGGCCUUAAGCUUCAAUGAGUCUUUUGCUAAUGUAGUAGACCGAAUGUUGGAUAUUGUUCUCUUCCCUGAUCAAUACGACACUUAGAGCAUGUUUCGUGACUGCCAAGUAUAUUCCCAACUCUUCUCCGUCUAGAGGUUUUGAGAGUACAGGAGGUUUUGCGAAUUGCAUUUUUAGCUCUUGAAAGGCUUUUUUUGCAUUCAUUCGUCCAUUCAAAUUACUUAUUUCCUCGGAGGAUGUUGAAGAAUGGGACACACUUGUUUGUUGACUUUGAAACAAAUCUGCUGAGUGCGGCAAUCCGACCAGUUAAACUAUGAACUUCCUUGGUUUUUGUUGGCGAUUUCAUAUCGAGGAGGGCUUGAGUUUUCUCUAGAUUGGCUUCAAUUCCUUGGGCAUUAGCAAUAAAGCCCAGAAACUUACCCAAACUAACUCCAAAGGAGCACUUUAGGGGAUUGAAUUUCAUGUUGUAUUUGUUGAGGACUUUGAAGCAUUCGUCCAGGUCAUCUAUAUCCCCCCCAGCAUUCUUGGAUUUGACGAGCAUGUCAUCCACGUAUACUUCCAUAUUUCGUCCGAUCUGGUCCUUGAAUAUUUUAUUGACCAAUCUUUGGUAUGUAGCUCUGGCCUUCUUGAGACCAAAUGGCAUGACUUUUUAACAAUAUAGACCCAUAUCUAUUCGGAAACUUGUAUGUUCUUGGUCUGAUGGAUGCAUCUUGAUUUGAUUGUACCCCGAAUAGGCGUCCACGAAGCUUAAUAUCCCGUGCCCUACUGUUGCAUCCACAAGUUGAUCUAUUCUUGGAAGUGGAAAGCAGUCUUUGGGGCACGCCUUAUUGAGGUCGGUGAAGUCAAUACAUACUCGCCAUUUUUUGUUCAGCUUGGGCACUAGUACAGGGUUAGCAACCCAAGCCGGGUAGAAAGAUUCAAUUAUGAAAUUGUUGUUGUGCAGCUUUUCUACCUCUUCUUUUAAGGCUAGGGCUCGUUCUUUGUCUAACAGUCUUCUUUUUGUUGAACGGGCCAAAAAUUUGGAUCGAUAUUUAGGGCAUAUGAAAUUAUAGAGGGAUCAAUUCCGACAAUGUCCUCAUGCGACCAGGCAAAAAUGUCUAGGUUUGCUCUUAGAAAUUUUAUCAUUACUAAUUUUAUUUCGAGAAACAAACCUUUUACAAUUUUGAGUUUCCUGAUCAGAACAUUUGGGUUAAUUUCAAUCUCUUCUAGUUCUUCCACUAGCCCAACAUUUGUAUAUGGUUCCCCAAGUCGGGGAUCCACAUCUUCGUCCCCGCCUUGGGCAGUUCCCUAUUUAGCUAUGUUCUUUCCCUUGCCCGAACUCUGACUAGGGGAUUCCUCCUUUUUAGCCUUAGUUAGGGCAAGGUUGUAACAUUCCCAUGCAACUUGUUGGUUUCCUCUCAAGCACCUUACCCCAUUUUGUGUUGGUAACUUAAGGCACAAUUGAAAUAUAGAUGUAACAUCUUUUAGGUCAUAUAAGGCUGGUCGGCCCAACAUGACAUCAAAAGAUGAUGGAACAUCCAAUACCAAAAAUUGUGCCAUUACAGUUAUGCUCUUCGGAGCUUGCCCAACAGUGAGGGGUAGGUGAAUUUUUCCUAAAGGUGCAACACUCUGGUCGGAGAAACCGUAUACGGACUGAAGACAGGGGGUUAAAUCUUUGAGUUAGAGCCCCAUUUUUUCAUAUGGUGUUUUGAACAAGAUAUUUGCAGAGGCUCCAUUAUAAAUCAUAGUUUGGGCCACUGUUUUGUUGGCUAUUUGUACUUCCACGACUAACGAAUCGUUGUGCGAGAAGUUAAUCUUGACAACAUCGUCUUCAUUGAACGUUAUGGUAGGUUCCCCUACCCGUGGUAAUUUUGGUUUCCUUUCUUUGACGGCCAAGACCACUUCCUCUUGCUCGUGCUGUAGGUUUCGGGCAUACUUUUCCCGGGCUUUGCCUGAAUCUUCAGCUAUGUGUGGACCCCAAUGAUGACUUGCAAAUGCCCAUCUACUGGCGGUGGCAGUAAAUCUUGGUUAUUGUCCGCCUGGGCGGCCCUCUGAUUCUGAUCGGCCUUGACAUAUUUUUUCAUGUGCGGUUUAUUCUUUCUUAUCAAAAAUUCAAUUUCUCGUUUUAAAUUGUUGCAUUCAUUGGUGUCAUGGCCAUAAUCUCCAUGAAAACAGUGAAACUUGGAAAUGUCCCUCUUACUUAUGUCCUUUUUCAUGGGAGCAGGUUUCUUGUAGAGAGCUACUAACUGAGUAGCCAUAUAGAUGGUCUCUAAAUUGUCAGUCAGGAUAGAGUAAGCAGUGAGUUUGGAAGAAUUUUCUCUAGGGGUCUGCUCGGCUUUGCCAGAAAGCUUUCCCUUUUUCCCAUUGCCUUGCUUGUUAUUAUUAGAUCUUUUGCCGCCUAAUCUUGAGUUUCUCGGAUACUGGGGUUGUUGGACGGAUGUUCCAACAGAGGGAGCUUUUGAUUGGCCCGGUUUAAGCUCGACAUCUACUCGCUGAAUGGCCUCUACGAGCUUGAUGAAACCAUUUACACGAUCGAGUAAGUCACUCAUAGAAUCUAAUGGUCUGUCCCUCUUGCUUGCCUUCCAAAGUUCUCCGAGAACUUUGAUGCCCCCCAGUCUUGCAGUUAAUUUCCCUUUUUCGGUUAACAAUGUAACUUUUGUUGCCAGUCAUCAUGAAUCUACUAAUAUAGGCUCAGAGAGGCUCCCCUGGCCUUUGCUUCACUUCGACCAGGUCCUCUAAAUGCAAUGGGAGUUGGGGAGAAGAAGAGAAUUGUGCAUAGAAUUUCGAGGAGAAAGCUUUCCAAGAGUUGAACCUUCUCGGUGUUAACUUGAAGUACCAUUGUUGGGUGGCUUCUGAGAGUGUGGCCGGAAAAACUCGGCAACACACAUCUCCUCGUACUCCUUGUAAGUCCAUUUGUGUUUCAAAAUAUUUGAGAUGUGAUAAGGGAUCUUCUUUCCCAGUAUACAUCUUCCGGGUCAGCAUCUUGAACUUGUGGGGCAGCUCCAAAACAUUGAUCUCUUGAGUAAAAUGGGAUCCUCGUGCUCAGUCUAACUCGGGAUCAUUGUGCUUUUGACCGGCCAGACCUUGGAACAUGUUUUUCAGUUCAUCCAACUGUGUGUGCACUGAUGGAAGAACUUGUUCGGCCUCUUGGCCGACCAAUGCCACAUCAAGAUCUCUUUGAACUAGAUCUUGAGCGCGGGCUCCGGGCUGAGUGGCUGGUGGAACAUAUUGUUCGUCUAACCCUCUCCUUCUAUUUAGAUCAUCUCUUAGAUCAUGAGCUGUUCCAAGUCUAUUAAAUACAGACGCACCAGGUUGUCUCAGUGAUUAGUUAGUUUGGCCAAGCACUUGGUCAAAACCGCUAGUCUAGGUGGAGUUAUAAGGUAUAACCCCUCUGACGAAUUUCCAGAUAAGGUCUAGCUGCCUACCGCUUGGCCCACAAGUGGAACCUGUGAUCGAGGAUUGGACGGUUGACCGUUUAGAGUUUGGGAAGUGUUCCCAGCUGGAUCUUCGUCUGAGUCGCCCAGUGGGAUACUGGAUGCGGGUUGCUGAUUAGCAACUUGGUAGGCUCUUCAUAUCAAUACGGUAGCCUGUCUUGUUCGGUCGUCGAUGGCUGCUUGUUGAGCCUUCAACGUAUCCAUUUCUCUAUCCCUCCAUUCGGUGAACUGCUCUUCGAACGCAAGGUUCACUUCAACACGGAGCUCUUCCUGGUCAUGAUGCAAAGUAUUAGUAUGGCCUUGCAUGAGCCCCAAGAGCAUUACAAAGGUUCUAGAUUUCGGUGUCAUCUCCAAUAGUUGUUUGGACAUUUGCUGCUGAAGGAACCCCAGUACUGGGAGUAUUUAGAUCGGCUGCUGAACUGGUAUUUCCAGUCUCUUGCACACCGAGCGUGAUUCCAGCCAAAGAAGACAUCACACCAUGACUCGUGGUUGGUGGUUGGGUGAUUAGCUGUUCAGGGUUAGUGACUGGUGGGACCCUUGCAUUCCCUUGAGUCUCGAACGUGGGAUCUACUGCCAGUGGAUCCACCUGAUCGACUACACCCAUGCGAGUCUAUACCACCAUCGUGUUUAUGAGUAAAUUUGAAGUAAAGAGCAAAUUUAUGAUCCUACUCUCAAUGAAAGCACUAAAAUGUUGACCUCGCUUUUAGCCAACGACAAUGAGUUUUAAUUGUAAGCAAUAAGUGAUAUAAUUCAAGUAUAAUACGAAGAGAUAAAUAAAGAACACACAAUUUUUAAAGAGGUUCGGCCCCGAGCAGUUCAGUAACAGCCUACUCCCCUUAAUUUGUAUUGAUUAAGAACAAAGAACACAACGUUCCCUCUCUUAAAGCUCUUACAAUGAAAUCUCUGAGUAUGCUCUCUAAAAUCUUUCUCAAGUUAUUCUUUCGACCCCCCUACCAGUUAGAAUAUUUAUAGGGCUACAUGCUUGAGGGAAGGUUUCUCUUUUGCUUACAAUGUCUAUAAUUGGUAAGAAUAUACAUUACAUAUUUAGGAUACAUAGAUUGUGGGAUUUGUACAGCUUGCCAUAUCUCUGUGAUACGAUCUCUAAUUUAUAGGGAUUGCUCUUAUGCUUCACGAUGCAAAUUUUGGAAUUUCUAAGUGUUGAGAUGCUGCUCGGAUUGUCCACUGCUCGGCUAGAAGGACCUCGUCUGUGUAGGUAUAUGCAGUGUUCUGUUCGAAACAUCUUUUUCGGGCAAAUAUGAAGAAUUGGAUCCACGUGUCACCAGCAUGUGAUGCCACGUCAGAGUGCAAAAAUUGGGAUAACAGCUCUAAACAAUAGUGGAACAAAAUACAAAGUCUAAAAUGAUAUAUCUUUUCACAAAUAAGGAUAUUUUGGUUAUAUUUAAAAAAAAUUAAACUUAAAAUCUUAAUUGUAGUCGAUUACAAAACAUGAUGAGAUCUAAAGUUAUUUAUUAAAAUGUAUUGUCCAAAUAAGUAAUAAGUCAAAAUGUAAGAUCUAAAAUGAUAUAAAUUUUUCAAUUAGUAAUGUUACAAUUAGAUUUUCACCCUC